CCUAGUCUGCUCAACUGAACACACCUACAGAUGAAUCAGAAGCUCUGAGUAAACCAGAAGGGUCCUGUCCUCUUAACUGCAAAGGUCAGAAAAGAGAGAAGGGCGAUGGGUUUGGUCGUGGAGGCCUUGUAUGUUAGACAGUUGCUUUUUCUCGCCUCAUAAUUCUGUCUGAACUCUGACAGACAGUCUAUCUCUCUUUGUUAGGGGUGUUUAGGUAACAUUGGUAUUACUAUUGCUCAUACUUAGGGGUUUAAGCAAUCCCUUAGCCCUAAAGGCCCAUUCAGAAUGAUAACUACAUACUAAGUGUUUAACUUACCUUAUACUUAACUAAAACAUUUCUUACCAAUUAACUUAAUGAU